AGAGUUUGAUCAUGGCUCAGAACAAACGCCAGCGGCGUGCCUAACACAUGCAAGUCGAACGAGAAAUCCUGAGCAAUCGGGAGAGUAAAGUGGCGCACGGGUGAGUAACGCGUGGGUAAUCUACCCGGGAGAUGGGAAUAACACCUCGAAAGGGGUGCUAAUACCCGAUAAGACUCCGGGGACUCCGGUCUUCGGGAUAAAAUGGUGGCCUCUGCUCGCAAGCUAUCGCUCCAGGAUGAGCCCGCGUACCAUUAGCUAGUUGGUGAGGUAAUGGCUCACCAAGGCAAUGAUGGUUAGCUGGUCUGAGAGGAUGGCCAGCCACACUGGAACUGAAAUACGGUCCAGACUCCUACGGGAGGCAGCAGUGAGGAAUCUUGCGCAAUGGGGGAAAUCCUGACGCAGCAACGCCGCGUGAGUGAUGAAGGCCUUCGGGUCGUAAAGCUCUGUCAGAUGGGAAGAAGGUUCCAGCGGUGAAUAAUUGUUGGAAUUGACGGUACCGUUAGAGGAAGCACCGGCUAACUCCGUGCCAGCAGCCGCGGUAAUACGGAGGGUGCAAGCGUUGUUCGGAAUUAUUGGGCGUAAAGAGCGUGUAGGCGGCCUUGUAAGUCAGAUGUGAAAUACCUUGGCUUAACCAAGGAAGGGCAUUUGAAACUGCUUGNCUUGAGUACGGGAGGGGGAAGUGGAAUUCCCGGUGUAGAGGUGAAAUUCGUAGAUAUCGGGAGGAACACCGGUGGCGAAGNNGGCUUUCUGGACCGAUACUGACGCUGAGACGCGAAAGCGUGGGGAGCAAACAGGAUUAGAUACCCUGNAGUCCACGCCCUAAACGUUGGGCACUAGGNGNUNNGGGUAUUGACCCCUGCAGUGCCGAANCU
rnacentral:rRNA from 1 species